AGUGAACGCUGGCGGUAGGCCUAACACAUGCAAGUCGAACGGCAGCACAGUAAGAGCUUGCUCUUACGGGUGGCGAGUGGCGGACGGGUGAGGAAUACAUCGGAAUCUACUUUUUCGUGGGGGAUAACGUAGGGAAACUUACUCUAAUACCGCAUACGACCUACGGGUGAAAGCAGGGGAUCUUCGGACCUUGCGCGAUUGAAUGAGCCUAUGUCGGAUUAGCUAGUUGGCGGGGUAAAGGCCCACCAAGGCGACGAUCCGUAGCUGGUCUGAGAGGAUGAUCAGCCACACUGGAACUGAGACACGGUCCAGACUCCUACGGGAGGCAGCAGUGGGGAAUAUUGGACAAUGGGCGCAAGCCUGAUCCAGCAAUACCGCGUGGGUGAAGAAGGACUUCGGGUUGUAAAGCCCUUUUGUUGGGAAAGAAAAGCAGCAGGUUAAUACCCCGCUGUUCUGACGGUACCCAAAGAAUAAGCACCGGCUAACUUCGUG
rnacentral:rRNA from 1 species